GCCUUUUGUUUCUAUUGAUUGAAAGUUGUAUGAUUUUUUUUGAGCUAUUUGGAGGGAGAGUGCGUUAUUUUAAGUAUAUGCAGCUGUUUACUUUUGAAGUUGGAGACUCGGUUGAUUUAUUAUACUCCUGGAUCAAGGCUUGCAAACUUCAAGCUCUGGACGAACAUGACCAAAUAAUAAGACAACUAAAUGACGUAACUAAAUGAGUAAACCGUAACGGAACAAGAAUAAGCAUCGGAGCAAGAAUACGGUGUACAAAGAAGUCUUUGUAUGAGCAAGAACUUCAACGUCUGCUGGAAUUUGAUUACCUAUUCAUGCCGUCGGAAAGUAUUGGCUUCAAAGUCACUUUUCAAGGUCCUCUGAACGUCGUUGCUGAGUUUUGCAAACCCAGUCAAGAUAAAGAUAUUGCUUAGCAAUUGUGGAUCAUCGGAUAAGUAAAAAUGUUUAAGCCUGAUGGCUGUAGUAGGAAAAUGUUAAAUUUGUGUUGUGCGUAAGAUAUGUAUUUUGCUAUGUUAUAAAUCUCAAUUAGUUAAAAUCGAUACAGUGUCGUUUGAAAGGAUGUUAAUAUUUUUUAAUCGCUUUUAAUUCGGUAAACUUUAUGGAGUCGGCAGAGAACUCCUGUUGGAGUUAAUCAAUUAAGUUAAUCUCAAUUUCAUUAAAAUAUUGUAGGAAUAUAAACAACUUGGAAAGUUUUUAAUUAAUCUAAUUGAAAGGCAGGCUGUAAACUUAAACAUUAAAAGGAUGCUGCUGUAUUUUGACUCUUUAGAACUAGAUUUAGAACAUGUUUGAAUACUAAACCGAUAAUUUUAAAUAGCCAACUUACUGAUUGGAUAGUUCCUCAGUGUAAAUUCGUCAUUUAAGAACUGAAUAAAAUAGUAAUAUAGCUUCAUUUAUAGUUGAAUUUUCCCAUUUAAAAGUUCGCGCAUUAAACGCAUAUUUUUACAGAAAGACUUAAACCUACAUUUACAUUUUAAUAGUCUGAAAUGAGUAACAAAUCGCGGACGUUUCAUAAACGACCACAAACGGAACAGAGUAGUGCACACAACACAUACUAUGAUAAAACUUUGGUAGUAAAGUAUUAUCUUAAACGAGAGUAAUUUGACACAAAUAAAAGGGAAAAGCACUAGCAUAUACCGUUGAUCACUUUAAUCUCGUUCCUUUAAAGUGACACAAUUUUUGCAUAUACACAUAUUUUUAAUCGAAUUCUUCACUAACAUCUAACAUCUUCCCUUCUAUUUAAGAAUAUUACGAAGUAGCCAUGCGUUAUGAAUAACUUUGGUUCUGGUUUAAGAAUAUGCUACAUUACUGAAUUGCUAUUAUGGAAAUAUCAACCCGGACUUGAAUUUCUGUAAAAUUUAAAAAUAUUUUUCUGCAUUAGUAGGCUAAAUCUAACCCAUCUUAGACUUAAGAGUUAUUGCAUAGGUCGUAUUACUUAAAUUUUAAACUCGAAUAUUUCGCUUACCACCAUCGCUUAACUGAACAUUCCAAAUCGCAAUAUGGAGAGUAAUUUAAAAUUUUGUUGUAUUCUGCGAAUUAUCUAAUUUUCUGUUGUAUUAAAAUAUAGUAAAGACCACGAACAUUCUACUCAAAGAGGUUCUAACAGUCAGAAAUUGUCGCUAAAAUAAUCGCAUAAUUAUAAAUACUAAACUAGUGAUUUGUAGAUCG